rnacentral:rRNA from 1 species
GGCCCUGGCAUUUAGUGGGGGAUACGUUCGGAAACGGACGCUAAUACCGCAUACGUCCUACGGGAGAAAGCAGGGGACCUUCGGGCCUUGCGCUAUCAGAUGAGCCUAGGUCGGAUUAGCUAGUUGGUGAGGUAAUGGCUCACCAAGGCUACGAUCCGUAACUGGUCUGAGAGGAUGAUCAGUCACACUGGAACUGAGACACGGUCCAGACUCCUACGGGAGGCAGCAGUGGGGAAUAUUGGACAAUGGGCGAAAGCCUGAUCCAGCCAUGCCGCGUGUGUGAAGAAGGUCUUCGGAUUGUAAAGCACUUUAAGUUGGGGGGAAGGGCAUUAACCUAAUACGUUAGUAUUUUGACGUUACCGACAGAAUAAGCACCGGCUAACUCUGUGCCAGCAGCCGCGGUAAUACAGAGGGUGCAAGCGUUAAUCGGAAUUACUGGGCGUAAAGCGCGCGUAGGUGGUUUGUUAAGUUGAAUGUGAAAUCCCCGGGCUCAACCUGGGAACUGCAUCCAAAACUGGCAAGCUAGAGUAUGGUAGAGGGUAGUGGAAUUUCCUGUGUAGCGGUGAAAUGCGUAGAUAUAGGAAGGAACACCAGUGGCGAAGGCGACUACCUGGACUGAUACUGACACUGAGGUGCGAAAGCGUGGGGAGCAAACAGGAUUAGAUACCCUGGUAGUCCACGCCGUAACGAUGUCAACUAGCCGUUGGGAGUCUUGAACUCUUAGUGGCGCAGCUAACGCAUUAAGUUGACCGCCUGGGGAGUACGGGCCGCAAGGUUAAAACCUCAAUGAAUUUGACGGGGGCCCGCACAAGCGGGUGGAGCAUGUUGGUUAAUUUCGAUUGCAACCGCGAGAACCUUAACUUACCCUUGACAUCCAGAAAGGAACUUUCCAGAGAUGGAUUGGUGCCUUCCGGAAACUUCUUGAGACAGGGUGCCUGCAUGGCUGUCGUCCAGCUUCCGUGUUGUGAAAUGUUUGGUUUAAGUUCCGUAAACGAAGCGCACCCUCUAUUCUCUUAUUUGCAAGCGCAGUAGAUAUGUUCGGAAACUCUCAUAUGAAACCUGCCCG